rnacentral:rRNA from 1 species
AUACGUAGGGAGCAAGCGUUAUCCGGAUUUAUUGGGCGUAAAGCGCGCGUAGGCGGCUUGUUAAGUCAGGUGUUAAAGGCAAGGGCUCAACCCCUGUUCGCACCUGAAACUGGCAGGCUUGAGUUUGGUAGAGGAAAACGGAAUUCCCAGUGUAGCGGUGAAAUGCGCAGAUAUUGGGAAGAACACCGGUGGCGAAGGCGGUUUUCUGGGCCACAACUGACGCUGAGGUGCGAAAGCUAGGGGAGCAAACAGGAUUAGAUACCCUGGUAGUCCUAGCCGUAAACGAUGGAUACUAGGUGUUGGGGGUCUAUAGACCCUCGGUGCCGCAGCAAACGCAAUAAGUAUUCCACCUGGGGAGUACGUUCGCAAGAAUGAAACUCAAAUGAAUUGACGGGG